UACAGAGGUCUCAAGCGUUGUUCGGAUUCAUUGGGCGUAAAGGGUGCGUAGGCGGCGCGGUAAGUCGGGUGUGAAAUCUCGGAGCUUAACUCCGAAACUGCAUUCGAUACUGCCGUGCUUGAGGACUGGAGAGAGACUGGAAUUACGGUGUAGCGGUGAAAUUCGUAGAUAUUCGCAAGAACACCAGUGGCGAAGGCGGCUCACUGGCCGAUACUGACGCUGAGCACGAAGCGUGGGAGCAACAGG
rnacentral:rRNA from 1 species